UUUCCAAAAAAGUUAGAAUAACUUCCUCUCCCGGAGACCUCGGUUUUGCACAAACCGGCCCGUAACCAGAGCCUUUCCAGCAACCCGAGAGCGUGUGCUCGGCGGCCGCGGGCUUGGCCAGCGGCGCGCGGCGCCUCCAGCCCCACGCGCGCCGGGCGGGCGUCAUGGAGGAGGGCUCCAGCUCGCCCGUGUCCCCCGUGGACAGCUUGGGCACCAGCGAGGAGGAGCUCGAGCGGCAGCCCAAGCGCUUCGGCCGGAAGCGGCGCUACAGCAAGAAGUCAAGCGAAGAUGGCAGCCCGACCCCGGGCAAGCGCGGCAAGAAGGGCAGCCCGAGCGCGCAGUCCUUCGAGGAGCUCCAGAGCCAGCGCAUCCUGGCCAACGUGCGCGAGCGCCAGCGCACCCAGUCGCUCAAUGAGGCCUUCGCUGCACUGCGCAAGAUCAUCCCCACGCUGCCCUCGGACAAGCUCAGCAAGAUCCAGACGCUCAAGCUGGCCGCCAGGUACAUAGACUUCCUCUACCAGGUCCUGCAGAGCGACGAGAUGGACAAUAAGAUGACCAGCUGCAGCUACGUGGCCCACGAGCGCCUCAGCUACGCCUUCUCCGUGUGGCGCAUGGAAGGCGCGUGGUCCAUGUCCGCCUCCCACUAGCGCCGCGCCACCCACCUCCGGACCGGCGCACCAGGGUGCUGGUCCCAGAAGAGAGGGACAACAGAGGGUGGCACUAAGUCAUUCUGGACCCACCUGCGUGUCUGAGGCCCAGCGGAACUGGGGGGCCCACACCUGCGGCUUCUGAAACCUGGACAGCACCGUGGCGGCCCCUGCGCUCCAGCGGUGUGCAGAGGGGGACAGCAGCAGGGGCAAGGCCGGAGCCCCUCCUCCCAGAGACCCCCGCACGGAAGGCCACUCCGCCCUCCUGCCGCGACCUCUGACCUGUCAUCUCGUCACCAUCCGGAACUUUCUUCUGGGUCUUGUUUUGGGGAGUGGACUUAUUCUUUCUGGAAAUCUCUAGAUUCAGGAAUGAGCUUAUGAGUACCUGGAUUUUGAUUUGUAUUUCUCUCUAAGUGCCUUUUUCAAUGUAUAUUUUUUUAAUAAAACAGAAAUGCGUUCUCGUACCAUCUGUUUAAACUGGACCAAGGCUCUCAGAAAAGGAACCUCAAGUUGCCUCCCACCCCCGCCCUCUGCGCGACCUUCAGGAAGCCCCCAACGAGCCCUUGUCACAUCUCUGCCCUGCUCCGUGACUUGCUCAGCUAGCCAUUUUUUAUAUUCCCCGUUUCAGUGUAUAUGUUGCUUAUUUGUUUAUUUAUUGAGAUAUUUUUACAGCCUAAGUGACUGCACUGUGCUGUGUAUACUGCUCCCCGCCAGGAACAAUAAAGAUGCCACCCAGC